rnacentral:rRNA from 1 species
UACGUAGGGGGCGAGCGUUGUCCGGAUUCAUUGGGCGUAAAGAGCUCGUAGGCGGCUUCGUAAGUCAGGUGUGAAACCUCCAGGCUCAACCUGGAGCCGCCACCUGAUACUGCGAUGGCUAGAGUCCGGUAGGGGAUCACGGAAUUCCUGGUGUAGCGGUGAAAUGCGCAGAUAUCAGGAAGAACACCCGUGGCGAAGGCGGCUCUCUGGGACGGUACUGACGCUGAGACGCGAAAGCGUGGGGAGCGAACAGG